rnacentral:rRNA from 1 species
AUGACGCUGGCGGCAGGCCUAACACAUGCGAAGUCNGAGCGGUAGAGAGGAGCUUGCUCCUCUUGAGAGCGGCGGACGGGUGAGUAAUGCCUAGGAAUCUGCCUGGUAGUGGGGGAUAACGUUCGGAAACGGACGCUAAUACCGCAUACGUCCUACGGGAGAAAGCAGGGGACCUUCGGGCCUUGCGCUAUCAGAUGAGCCUAGGUCGGAUUAGCUAGUUGGUGAGGUAAUGGCUCACCAAGGCGACGAUCCGUAACUGGUCUGAGAGGAUGAUCAGUCACACUGGAACUGAGACACGGUCCAGACUCCUACGGGAGGCAGCAGUGGGGAAUAUUGGACAAUGGGCGAAAGCCUGAUCCAGCCAUGCCGCGUGUGUGAAGAAGGUCUUCGGAUUGUAAAGCACUUUAAGUUGGGAGGAAGGGCAGUAAAUUAAUACUUUGCUGUUUUGACGUUACCGACAGAAUAAGCACCGGCUAACUCUGUGCCAGCAGCCGCGGUAAUACAGAGGGUGCAAGCGUUAAUCGGAAUUACUGGGCGUAAAGCGCGCGUAGGUGGUUUGUUAAGUUGGAUGUGAAAUCCCCGGGCUCAACCUGGGAACUGCAUUCAAAACUGACUGACUAGAGUAUGGUAGAGGGUGGUGGAAUUUCCUGUGUAGCGGUGAAAUGCGUAGAUAUAGGAAGGAACACCAGUGGCGAAGGCGACCACCUGGACUAAUACUGACACUGAGGUGCGAAAGCGUGGGGAGCAAACAGGAUUAGAUACCCUGGUNGUCCACGCCGUAAACGAUGUCAACUAGCCGUUGGAAGCCUUGAGCUUUUAGUGGCGCAGCUAACGCAUUAAGUUGACCGCCUGGGGAGUACGGCCGCAAGGUUAAACUCAAAUGAAUUGA